GCCGCGGCGGCCGGAGCGGGACGGGCCCGGCGCGGGAGGGAGCGAAGCAGCGCGGGCAGCGAGCGAAUAAGGUGAAGAAGGGCGGCCCGGGGAGCGAGUGCGCUGAGUGGGCCUGGGGGCCCUGCACCCCCAGCAGCAAGGAUUGCGGCGUGGGUUUCCGCGAGGGCACCUGCGGGGCCCAGACCCAGCGCAUCCGGUGCAGGGUGCCCUGCAACUGGAAGAAGGAGUUUGGAGCCGACUGCAAGUACAAGUUUGAGAACUGGGGUGCGUGUGAUGGGGGCACAGGCACCAAAGUCCGCCAAGGCACCCUGAAGAAGGCGCGCUACAAUGCUCAGUGCCAGGAGACCAUCCGCGUCACCAAGCCCUGCACCCCCAAGACCAAAGCAAAGGCCAAAGCCAAGAAAGGGAAGGGAAAGGACUAGACGCCAAGCCUGGAUGCCAAGGAGCCCCUGGUGUCACAUGGGGCCUGGCCCACGCCCUCCCUCUCCCAGGCCCGAG
rnacentral:lncRNA from 10 species